GAGGGUAUAGCUCAGUGGUAGAGUGUGUAUUUAGCACACAUGAGGUCCUGAGUUCAAUCCCCAGGACCUCCA
rnacentral:tRNA from 1 species